rnacentral:rRNA from 1 species
UACAGAGGUCCCAAGCGUUGUUCGGAUUCACUGGGCGUAAAGGGUGCGUAGGCGGUUUGAUAAGUCUGAUGUGAAAUCCCGCAGCUUAACUGCGGAACUGCAUUGGAAACUAUUUGACUAGAGGAAUGGAGGGGAGACUGGAAUACUUGGUGUAGCAGUGAAAUGCGUAGAUAUCAAGUGGAACACCAGUGGCGAAGGCAGCCCCCUGGGCCAAGAUUGACGCUCAGGCACGAAAGCGUGGGGAGCAAACAGG